GACAUUUUCAGAAACUUACAUUUCAUUUUCUCUCCUUCAAACAUCUCUCUAAUAUUGUCCUCUCCAAAACCCAUUCUUCUCUCUAGAUUUCCCCUCCAUUGAGUAACUGGAUUCCCAUUCCGCAGACGUCUAGGCGAUCUUUGCAUCAAGGGCUCCAAUUUUCACCGAUUGCAUUUGCGAUUUCGUAGGGUGCUGUCAAUUUUUUUAGAGUGCCUUUGGAUUUCCUCUUGAGUUUAGCUGCUGGAAAUUUAAGAUGUGAGCAGUAGGUGAUGAUGUACCUUUGGAGCAAGCUUUGGAAGUUGAGGAAGACCCAGCCUUAGGAUUUCUACUAGCUUUUAAUUUAAAUAGCUCUUUAUUUUGAAAGACUUCUAGCCUUCA
rnacentral:sRNA from 1 species